CCUACGGGAGGCAGCAGUGAGGAAUAUUGGUCAAUGGACGAGAGUCUGAUCCAGCCAAGUAGCGUGAAGGAUGAAUGCCCUAUGGGUUGUAAACAUCUUUUAUAUGGGAAUAAAACGUUCCACGUGUGGGCUUUUGUAUGUACCAUAUGAAUAAGGAUCGGCUAAGUCCGUGCCAGCAGCCGCGGUAAUACGGAGGAUCCGAGCGUUAUCCGGAUUUAUUGGGUUUAAAGGGAACGUAGGUGGAUUGUUAAGUCAGUUGUGAAAGCUUCCGGCUUAACCGGAGAAUUGCAGUUGAAACUGGCAGGCUUGAGUACAGUAGAGGUGGGCGGAAUUCGUGGUGUAGCGGUGAAAUGCUUAGAUAUCACGAAGAACUCCGAUUGCGAAGGCAGCUCACUGGACAGCAACUGACACUGAGGCGCGAAAGUGUGGGGAGCAAACAGGAUUAGAUACCCCAGUAGUC
rnacentral:rRNA from 1 species